AUUGAACGCUGGCGGCAGGCUUAACACAUGCAAGUCGAGCGGGGGAAGGUAGCUUGCUACUGGACCUAGCGGCGGACGGGUGAGUAAUGCUUAGGAAUCUGCCUAUUAGUGGGGGACAACAUCUCAAAAGGGAUGCUAAUACCGCAUACGUCCUACGGGAGAAAGCAGGGGAUCUUCGGACCUUGCGCUAAUAGAUGAGCAUAAGUCGGAUUAGCUAGUUGGUGGGGUAAAGGCCUACCAAGGCGACGAUCUGUAGCGGGUCUGAGAGGAUGAUCCGCCACACUGGGACUGAGACACGGCCCAGACUCCUACGGGAGGCAGCAGUGGGGAAUAUUGGACAAUGGGGGGAACCCUGAUCCAGCCAUGCCGCGUGUGUGAAGAAGGCCUUAUGGUUGUAAAGCACUUUAAGCGAGGAGGAGGCUACUCUAGUUAAUACCUAGGGAUAGUGGACGUUACUCGCAGAAUAAGCACCGGCUAACUCUGUGCCAGCAGCCGCCGUAA
rnacentral:rRNA from 1 species